rnacentral:rRNA from 1 species
CCUACGGGUGGCAGCAGUGGGGAAUAUUGCUCAAUGGGGGAAACCCUGAUGCAGCGACGCCGCGUGAGGGAAGAAGGUUUUCGGAUUGUAAAGCUCUUUUAGUAGGGAAGAUAAUGACGGUAUCUGACUAAGAAUCACCGGCUAACUCCGUGCCAGCAGCCGCGGUAAUACGGAGGGUGCAAGCGUUAUUCGGAUUCACUGGGCGUAAAGGGCGCGUAGACGGGAGAGCAAGUCAGAGGUGAAAUGCCGUGGCUUAACCACGGAACUGCAUUGGAAACUGUGAUGCUAGAGUGUAGGAGAGGUAGGUGGAAUUCUUGGUGUAGGGGUAAAAUGCGUAGAGAUCAAGAGGAACACCAAUUGCGAAGGCGACUUACUAGACUAUAACUGACGUUGAGGCGCGAAAGCGUGGGGAGCAAACAGGAUUAGAUACCCCAGUAGUC